UCGUUUGUGGCACUAGGAUCU
ensembl:piRNA 21ur-6019 ncRNA